rnacentral:rRNA from 1 species
AUAAAGUCUAAAACGACUCUCGGCAACGGAUAUCUCGGCUCUCGCAUCGAUGAAGAACGUAGCGAAAUGCGAUACUUGGUGUGAAUUGCAGAAUCCCGUGAACCAUCGAGUCUUUGAACGCAAGUUGCGCCCCAAGCCUUCUGGCCGAGGGCACGUCUGCCUGG